rnacentral:rRNA from 1 species
UACGUAGGGUGCGAGCGUUGUCCGGAAUUAUUGGGCGUAAAGAGCUUGUAGGCGGUCUGUCGCGUCUGCUGUGAAAAUCCGGGGCUCAACCCCGGACUUGCGGUGGGAACUGGCAGACUAGAGUGUGGUAGGGGAGGCUGGAAUUCCUGGUGUAGCGGUGAAAUGCGCAGAUAUCAGGAGGAACACCGAUGGCGAAGGCAGGUCUCUGGGCCAAUACUGACGCUGAGAAGCGAAAGCAUGGGGAGCGAACAGG